rnacentral:lncRNA from 1 species
UGUGCGUCAGAAACAGAAGCGCCGAAUCACUCCCACCCGCCCGAUCCCUAAACCAACUAUGCCAAAGCACUCCAAUUGAAACCGAUUCGCAGUCCGACCGACGACGCAGAAACAGCGAAGUCCUUGGAUUGAGAAAAACGGUCGGUCUCAGCCGGUUUAAAUCCAGGCACUUCUGCUGGUCCAGGCUGUACACCUGCCAAGCCGUGCUUAGCUGGCUUAAAGCCAGGCCUCCUCCUUUUAAUUCAUUUGCAAAUCGGGCUUCUCGUCAGGACGGUCCACGGGUUCACCCGGCUGGCCCUCGUGCCUGCAGAUGUAUGCGUGCGUAUGUUUGGAUUUCUCAAGGAUUCAGGGCCCGCUACCCGCCGCCGCCGCCGCCUUCUCCUCCUCCUCCUGCUCUCUCUCUCUCGCUCUCCCUCUCUCUCUUUCUCGCCCGACUACCAUGGAUGUCCCACCAUUCCUUGCAGUUGAAGGUUGCUCCUUGGCGCAGUGAAUGAAGAUCAUGCAGGGAUUGCUAAUGGCUUUGGGAAGCGGAGAGGCUCUCUCCCUCGGUGUGACCAUGCCGUGAUCGCGACUCAGGGCCAAAACACUUCUACCGCUCUUCAGCUCUUUACCCGACCGGGGGAAGGGGGCAAAAACAUCACCACCACCACCACCACUACUAUCAUCAUCUUCAAAAACAACAACAACAACAACAACAACAACAACACGAACACCACACGCUGACGCUUAAGCAAGGGGGCCGAAAGGAACGCGGCGCGGGUGUGUAUCGGAAACACCAUGAAGAUUAUUUCCUCGAUUCUAACUCAUCCACUCUUCCGAGGCACCCUUCGGCUCCUGCUUUGCUUACUGUGGAUUGGAUAUUCCCGAGGAACCACGCAUGUGUUAAGAUUCGGUAAGGCUUUCCCCCCUUCUCCCCCCCACCGCUGUCGUUUGCUGACAUCGUUAUGUGUGUCCCUCGGAUAUUGUCAGGGAAUCGGGGGGGGGGCGGAGGUUGGAGGGAGGAGGGAAAGGGG